GGCGGCGUGCUUAACACAUGCAAGUCGAACGAUGAAGCCGCUUCGGUGGUGGAUUAGUGGCGAAGGGGUGAGUAACACGUGGGCAAUCUGGCCUUCACUCUCGGACAAGCCCUGGAAACCGGGUCUAAUACCGGAUAACACUCUGUCCCGCAUGGGACGGGUUUGAAAGCUCCGGCGGUGAAGGAUGAGCCCGCGGCCUAUCAGCUUGUUGGUGGGGUAAUGGCCUACCAAGGCGACGACGGCUAGCCGGCCUGAGAGGGCGACCGGCCACACUGGGACUGAGACACGGGCCAGACUCCUACGGGAGGCAGCAGUGGGCAAUAUUGCACAAUGGGCGAAAGCCUAAUGCAGCGACGCCGCGUGAGGGAUGACGGCCUUCGGGUUGUAACCCUCUUUCAGCAGGGAAGAAGCGAAAGUGACGGUACCUGCAGAAGAAGCGCCGGCUAACUACGUGCCAGCAGCCGCGGUAAUACGUAGGGCGCAAGCGUUGUCCGGAAUUAUUGGGCGUAAAGAGCUCGUAGGCGGCUUGUCACGUCGGAUGUGAAAGCCCGGGCCUUAACCCCGGGUCUGCAUACGAUACGGGCUAGCUAGAGUGUGGUAGCGGAGAUCGGAAUUCCUGGUGUAGCGGUGAAAUGCGCAGAUAUCAGGAGGAACACCGGUGGCGAAGGCGGAUCUCUGGGCCAUUACUGACGCUGAGGAGCGAAAGCGUGGGGAGC
rnacentral:rRNA from 1 species